rnacentral:lncRNA from 1 species
ACAGCAACGUCAGAAACAGCCCUGAAUGGCUGCCAGUGCAGUUAUUAGACAUUUCGGCACUUGCACUGUGACCGGAAACAGCAUGUCCGU